CGGCGAGGCCCGGGGGAGCGGGAAGGCCUCAGGGCUGCUGCAGGGCCCCGAGGCGUCGCCCCUCACGAGGGACAGAGCUCCACCGCUCUGCUGCUGCCCCAGGCCUGACCGUGAGACUACACAGCAGGUGUUGUGUGGCACGGCUGUGAGCCCAGCAGUACCGGGCCUCUGUGAAGGCGUCAAGGAAGGGGAUGGAGGCCUGCGCCGCUUCCACCGUCUGCACAGCGGAUGUGUGGGGAAGGCCUGUCCCCAUCCCGCGGCGCUGGAGGAGCCCAGGCUGAGGGAUCCACAUUGGCAGGCACAGAGAUAGGAGCGGGGCUUUGCAGUGACACGGCCUGCAGGAGUGCAGUGCUCACCCCGUGACCAACACGGCUGGUUUCCUUCGGGCCUCCCUUAUUGCACAGAGAAGCAUAUCGAUGCCAAAGAAUUUCCAUCUCUCUGUUGUGAAUCAUUAACCGGGAAAUCCUCCAGGUUAUUAGGAACAACAUCCCCCAGGGCUCGAUCUGCUGCUAUCUGCUCCUGAUCAAAGGAUGACAGAGGUGGUUUCUAGGCAGAAGACUGGCUUACGCAUCCUGUGCGUUCUAUAGCAAAUAAUCACCCAGUUUGUGUCAUGAUAAACAGCAAGAAA
rnacentral:lncRNA from 1 species